rnacentral:rRNA from 1 species
GACGAACGCUGGCGGCGUGCCUAAUACAUGCAAGUAGAACGCACAGUUUAUACCGUAGCUUGCUACACCAUAAACUGUGAGUUGCGAACGGGUGAGUAACGCGUAGGUAACCUGCCUGGUAGCGGGGGAUAACUAUUGGAAACGAUAGCUAAUACCGCAUAAUAUUGAUUAUUGCAUGAUAAUUGAUUGAAAGAUGCUAUUGCAUCACUACCAGAUGGACCUGCGUUGUAUUAGCUAGUAGGUGAGGUAACGGCUCACCUAGGCGACGAUACAUAGCCGACCUGGGAGGGUGAUCGGCCACCCUGGGACUGGGACACGGCCCAGACUCCUACGGGAAGGAGCAGGAGGGAAUCUUCGGAAAUGGACGAAAGUCUGACCGAGGAACGCCGGGUGAGGGAAGGAGGUUUUCGGAUCGUAAAGCUCUGUUGUAAGAGAAGAACGGGUGUGAGGGUAGAAAGUUCACACUGUGACGGUAUCUUACCAGAAAGGGACGGCUAACUACGUG